CCUACGGGGGGCUGCAGUGGGGAAUAUUGGACAAUGGGGGCAACCCUGAUCCAGCCAUGCCGCGUGUGUGAAGAAGGCCCUCGGGUUGUAAAGCACUUUCAGUGAGGAAGAACGCCUGGUGGUUAAUACCCAUCAGGAAAGACAUCACUCACAGAAGAAGCACCGGCUAACUCCGUGCCAGCAGCCGCGGUAAUACGGAGGGUGCGAGCGUUAAUCGGAAUUACUGGGCGUAAAGCGCGCGUAGGUGGCUUGAUAAGCCGGUUGUGAAAGCCCCGGGCUCAACCUGGGAACGGCACCCGGAACUGUCAAGCUAGAGUGCAGGAGAGGAAGGUAGAAUUCCCGGUGUAGCGGUGAAAUGCGUAGAGAUCGGGAGGAAUACCAGUGGCGAAGGCGGCCUUCUGGACUGACACUGACACUGAGGUGCGAAAGCGUGGGUAGCAAACAGGAUUAGAUACCCCAGUAGUC
rnacentral:rRNA from 1 species